rnacentral:rRNA from 1 species
GACGUAGGGCGCGAGCGUUGUCCGGAUUUAUUGGGCGUAAAGAGCUCGUAGGCGGCUUGUCGCGUCGACCGUGAAAACUCGCAGCUCAACUGCGAGCCUGCGGUCGAUACGGGCAGGCUAGAGUUCGGUAGGGGAGACUGGAAUUCCUGGUGUAGCGGUGAAAUGCGCAGAUAUCAGGAGGAACACCGGUGGCGAAGGCGGAUCUCUGGGCCGAUACUGACGCUGAGGAGCGAAAGCGUGGGGAGCGAACAGG